AACCUAGCACACCUGCGGUGUGUACCUGCGGAGGGAUCAUUACAGAGUUAUCCAACUCCCAAACCCAUGUGAACUUAUCUCUUUGUUGCCUCGGCGCAAGCUACCCGGGACCUCGCGCCCCGGGCGGCCCGCCGGCGGACAAACCAAAACUCUUGUUAUCUUAGUUGAUUAUCUGAGUGUCUUAUUUAAUAAGUCAAAACUUUUAGCAACGGAUCU
rnacentral:misc_RNA from 1 species